GUUUGAAUUCGUAUCGGAUCUUUUCCAGUGGAAAUGACUCACUCUAAGUUUAGCUGCCUACAAUAACCAUAUAUCCAGAAAGUCUAAUUGCAAAUAAUUCAUUGUUACUUAAUACUAAAUUAAAUUACUCUCUGGAAAACUCUCGUAUCAAACCGCGGACUUGCGCUCUCUUGUUUAAGACAAACGCAAAUGAGGAUUGAAAAACGUAGGCCCUGUUCUCCUGCUGUGUAAACUCUCAAGGAGGGACACUGUAUUCAGCGUGGUGACUGACAGCAGAGGUGAAGGAAGCCUGCAGUGAAUAACAGAGAAGGAAAAUGAACACCCACACAUGAUGGGUCCUCAGGACAUCAGACAGCUGCUAUUAUGUCUGGAGGAUGAAAUAUUAAAGAAGAGCAGAAAAAGAGAUCAAGGCACACACAUCCUUGCACUGUCCCUCAGUCUUUUUCAUUUCAAAUUAGUGAAGAGCAUGCUUGAGAUGAAACAUGAGAUAUGUGAAGAAAAUGAAAAAGAAUCAAGUUUACAACACAGAAGUAUGAGGACGCAACACAACAGCAUUCCUUGUUGUACACAAGUACCCUGGAAAAAUCAAAAUGGGAGAUGAAGGGGAUGCGAGCGAUUAUUCCAGCCCUCAGCCUCACUGCGACUGGAAGCAUUGGGAUGGAUGAGAUCUGAGGGCAUAUUGCCAAGCCCUGCUGGGAGAGCUCAUUGGGUCCUAAUCAUGCCCUAUCCUUGGCCUCAUAUAGGGAGAUGAAUGUGGUGUCUGAUAAAGGAGAGGUACGGUUAGAUGUGUGCACAUGUGAUAUUUCUUACCAGCUUUAGGGAAUCGGUUUCUGCUUGUGAGUUUGAG
ensembl:lncRNA